rnacentral:rRNA from 1 species
CCUACGGGGGGCAGCAGUGGGGGAUAUUGGACAAUGGGGGGAACCCUGAUCCAGCGACGCCGCGUGAGUGAAGAAGUAUUUCGGUAUGUAAAGCUCUGUCAGCAGGGAAGAAAGAAAUGACGGUACCUGACCAAGAAGCCCCGGCUAACUACGUGCCAGCAGCCGCGGUAAUACGUAGGGGGCAAGCGUUAUCCGGAUUUACUGGGUGUAAAGGGAGCGUAGACGGCAGCACAAGUCUGGAGUGAAAUGCCGGGGCUUAACCCCGGAACUGCUUUGGAAACUGUGCAGCUAGAGUGCAGGAGAGGUAAGUGGAAUUCCUAGUGUAGCGGUGAAAUGCGUAGAUAUUAGGAGGAACACCAGUGGCGAAGGCGGCUUACUGGACUGUAACUGACGUUGAGGCUCGAAAGCGUGGGGAGCAAACAGGAUUAGAUACCCCUGUAGUC